rnacentral:misc_RNA from 1 species
UGUGUCCAUCCCCCCUGGAGA